CCGGCGAUUUCCGAAUGGGGAAACCCAGUGUGUUUCGACACACUAUCAUUAACUGAAUCCAUAGGUUAAUGAGGCGAACCGGGGGAACUGAAACAUCUAAGUACCCCGAGGAAAAGAAAUCAACCGAGAUUCCCCCAGUAGCGGCGAGCGAACGGGGAGGAGCCCAGAGCCUGAAUCAGUGUGUGUGUUAGUGGAAGCGUCUGGAAAGGCGCGCGAUACAGGGUGACAGCCCCGUACACAAAAAUGCACAUAUUGUGAGCUCGAUGAGUAGGGCGGGACACGUGGUAUCCUGUCUGAAUAUGGGGGGACCAUCCUCCAAGGCUAAAUACUCCUGACUGACCGAUAGUGAACCAGUACCGUGAGGGAAAGGCGAAAAGAACCCCGGCGAGGGGAGUGAAAAAGAACCUGAAACCGUGUACGUACAAGCAGUGGGAGCCUCUUAAUGGGGUGACUGCGUACCUUUUGUAUAAUGGGUCAGCGACUUAUAUUCUGUAGCAAGGUUAACCGAAUAGGGGAGCCGAAGGGAAACCGAGUCUUAACUGGGCGUUAAGUUGCAGGGUAUAGACCCGAAACCCGGUGAUCUAGCCAUGGGCAGGUUGAAGGUUGGGUAACACUAACUGGAGGACCGAACCGACUAAUGUUGAAAAAUUAGCGGAUGACUUGUGGCUGGGGGUGAAAGGCCAAUCAAACCGGGAGAUAGCUGGUUCUCCCCGAAAGCUAUUUAGGUAGCGCCUCGUGAAUUCAUCUCCGGGGGUAGAGCACUGUUUCGGCAAG
rnacentral:rRNA from 1 species